GAACAGAAAGCCUAGUGGACAUGGCAUCUGCCCGGUAAGCAGAACACUUUGGGUUCGAUUCCCAUCCCUGGACA
rnacentral:tRNA from 1 species